GCCACAGUUAUAAUAGAAUCGGUAGCAUACAACCCGCAUAUUUGAGCUUCACAAAAUUUAGCAACCAAUUUCUACAAAAGGUAAAUAAACCAGAUGGCUGGACCUAAUAAAUAUGAAUAAUCCUUGUCAAACAAGGCCAAACGGUCCUGUUUCAGUAGCACGCUCCAAUAAAUAUAACCUUUUUCUACACAACAAAAGAUUCGACUGUAAAGGAAAACAUUAAGAAAGAUUUUUAAAACAUAUCACAAACACAUUUCACAUGCUUUAAUGGAGCAUGAACAUAAUUAUACAACACACUAAUCUUGCAAGAUUGGAGAUUCAAGAACUUAGUCGUUGGACAGUUUCAGGCAUUGUUUUAUUGAUAAUCAACCCAGUUUCCAUGACUUGAUUAACUUGGCCAGGGCAACAUCGGAGGAACCACUUUCACUUGUCGCUGCCUUUGCCUCCGUCUCCUUUUCUUUGGCGCGCUU
rnacentral:lncRNA from 1 species